rnacentral:rRNA from 1 species
AGGUAACACGUGGGUAACCUGCCUUAUGAGGGGGAGUAACAGAGAGAAAUCACUGCUAAUACCGCAUAAGCACACAGUACCGCAUGGUACAGGGUGAAAAGAUUUAUCACCAUAAGAUGGACCCGCGUCUGAUUAGCCAGUUGGCAGGGUAAAAGCCUACCAAAGCAACGAUCAGUAGCCGAUCUGAGAGGAUGACCGGCCACAUUGGGACUGAGACACGGCCCAA